CCGAGUUUACAAACUCCCAAACCCUUUGUGAACCUUACCUAUCGUUGCUUCGGCGGGAUCGCCCCGGGCCGGCCCUUCACGGGGCCUCCGGAACCAGGCGCCCGCCGGAGAACCCAAACUCUUUGUUUUUAUGGUUUUCUCCUCUGAGUGGAUUAUAAACAAAUAAAUCAAAACUUCAACAACGGAUCUCUUGGUUCUGGCAUCGAUGAAGAACGCAGCGAAAUGCGAUAAGUAAUGUGAAUUGCAGAAUUCAGUGAAUCAUCGAAUCUUUGAACGCACAUUGCGCCCGCAGUAUUCUGGCGGGCAUGCCUGUUCGAGCGUCAUUUCAACCCUCAGGCCCCCAGUGCCUGGCGUUGGAGAUCGGCCGUACGGCUGCAGCCCUCCGGGGAUGCGCGCCGGGCCGGCUCCGAAAUCUAGUGGCGGUCUCGCUGUAGUCCUCCUCUGCGUAGUAGCACAACCUCGCAGUUGGAACGCGGCGGUGGCCAUGCCGUUAAACACCCCACUUCUGAAAGUUGACCUCGGAUCAGGUAGGAAUACCCGCUGAACUUAAGCAUAUCAAUAAGCGGAACGUAGCCUUGGUCAUUUAGAGGAAGUAAAAGUCGUAACAAGGUCUCCGUUGGUGAACCAGCGGAGGGAUCAUUACCGAGUUUACAACUCCCAAACCCCUGUGAACAUACCACUUGUUGCCUCGGCGGAUCAGCCCGCUCCCGGUAAAACGGGACGGCCCGCCAGAGGACCCCUAAACUCUGUUUCUAUAUGUAACUUCUGAGUAAAACCAUAAAUAAAUCA
rnacentral:misc_RNA from 1 species